rnacentral:rRNA from 1 species
GGGGAAAACAGGGGAUCUUCUGACCUUGCACUAUUGGAGCGGCCAAUAUCUAAUUAGCUGAUUGGUGGGGUAACGGCCUACAGGGGCAACUAUCCCUAUCUGGUUUGAAAGGACGACCAACCCCUCUGGGACUGAGACACGGGCCAUACUCCUACGGGAGGCCGCACUGGGGAAUUUUGCACAAUGGGGGAAACCCUGAUCCCCCCGUCCUGCAUGUGUUUUGAAGGCCUUAAGGUUGUAAAGCACUUUUGACAAGAAACAAACGUCACGUGCUAAUACCUCGCGAAACUGACAGUACCGGCGCAAUAAGCACCGGCUUACUACGUGCCAACAGCCCCGGUA